ACUCCUACGGGAGGCAGCAGUGGGGAAUAUUGCACAAUGGGCGCAAGCCUGAUGCAGGCAACGCCGUGUGAGUGAAGAAGGUUUUCGGAUCGUAAAACUCUGUCCUAAGGGAAGAAAAAAUGACGGUACCUUAGGAGGAACGCCCCGGCUAACUACGUGCCAGCAGCCGCGGUAAUACGUAGGGGGCAAGCGUUAUCCGGAAUCACUGGGCGUAAAGGGUGCGUAGGCGGCUUGACAAGCCAGGGGUGAAAGGCAUUGGCUCAACCAAUGUAAGCCCUUUGGAACUGUUAAGCUUGAGUGCAGGAGAGGUAAGUGGAAUUCCUAGUGUAGAGGUGAAAUUCGUAGAUAUUAGGAGGAACACCAGUGGCGAAGGCGACUUACUGGACUGUAACUGACGCUGAUGCACGAAAGCGU
rnacentral:rRNA from 1 species